GGCCUAUCAGCUUGUUGGUGGGGUAAUGGCCUAUCCAAGGCGACGACGGGUAGCCGGCCUGAGAGGGUGACCGGCCACACUGGGACUGAGAUACGGCCCAGACUCCUACGGGAGGCAGCAGUGGGGAAUAUUGCACAAUGGGCGCAAGCCUGAUGCAGCGACGCCGCGUGAGGGAUGACGGCCUUCGGGUUGUAAACCUCUUUCAAUAGGGACGAAGCGUGAGUGACGGUACCUAUAGAAGAAGCACCGGCCAACUACGUGCCAGCAGCCGCAGUAAUACGUAGGGUGCGAGCGUUGUCCGGAAUUACUGGGCGUAAAGAGCUCGUAGGUGGUUUGUCACGUCGUCUGUGAAAUUCCGGGGCUUAACUCCGGGCGUGCAGGCGAUACGGGCAUAACUUGAGUACUGUAGGGGAGACUGGAAUUCCUGGUGUAGCGGUGAAAUGCGCAGAUAUCAGGAGGAACACCGAUGGCGAAGGCAGGUCUCUGGGCAGUUACUGACGCUGAGGAGCGAAAGCAUGGGUAGCGAACAGGAUUAGAUACCCUGGUAGUCCAUGCCGUAAACGGUGGGCGCUAGGUGUGGGGGUCUUCCACGACUUCCGUGCCGUACUAACGCAUUAAGCGCCCCGCCUGGGGAGUACGG
rnacentral:rRNA from 1 species